rnacentral:rRNA from 1 species
UACGGGGGGGGCAAGCGUUGUUCGGAAUUACUGGGCGUAAAGGGUUCGUAGGCGGCCAACUUAGUCAGACGUGAAAUCCCUCAGCUUAACUGGGGAACUGCGUCUGAUACUGGAUGGCUCGAGUGCAGGAGAGGAACGCGGAAUUCCAGGUGUAGCGGUGAAAUGCGUAGAUAUCUGGAGGAACACCGGUGGCGAAGGCGGCGUUCUGGACUGCAACUGACACUGAGGAACGAAAGCCAGGGGAGCAAACGGG